UACAGAGGGGGCAAGCGUUGUUCGGAAUUACUGGGCGUAAAGGGCGCGUAGGCGGCCCGCUAAGUCGAACGUGAAAUCCGCGAGCUCAACUCGGGAACUGCGUCCGAUACUGGUGGGCUUGAAUCCGGGAGAGGGAUGCGGAAUUCCAGGUGUAGCGGUGAAAUGCGUAGAUAUCUGGAGGAACACCGGUGGCGAAGGCGGCUUACUGGUCCGGUUCUGACGCUGAGGCGCGAAAGCGUGGGGAGCAAACAGG
rnacentral:rRNA from 1 species